GACAGAGGGUGCAAACGUUGUUCGGAAUUACUGGGCGUAAAGCGCGUGUAGGCGGCAGGGCAUGUCGGAUGUGAAAUCCCGUGGCUCAACCACGGAAGUGCACCCGAAACUGCCCAGCUUGAGUCUCGGAGAGGAAGGCGGAAUGCUUGGUGUAGAGGUGAAAUUCGUAGAUAUCAAGCGGAACACCGGUGGCGAAGGCGGCCUUCUGGACGAUGACUGACGCUGAGACGCGAAAGCGUGGGGAGCAAACAGG
rnacentral:rRNA from 1 species